CUGUUAGUUCUCUAUCCUUAUCUUCUUCUCUGUUCCCUUCUCUGUCCACUCUGUACUAGCCAUAUUGAUCUCCCUGUUCCUUCUUUAAUAUUUCAAGCAAGCUCCUGCCUCAAAACCUUUGCACUUGCUAUUCUGCCUGCCUGGGAUGUUCAUCCCCUAGAUAUUUUUCUGCCUCAUUUUCUGACCUCCACUGGGUUUUUAUUCAAGUGUCAUUUUCUCAGUGACAACUUCCUGAUUUAAAAUUGCAAAACACUGUCUUCUCCCAUCACAUCAGUGCUCCCUGUCUUGACAUCCUGCUUUAUUUUUUCAACAGAGCACAUAUCACCAUGAGAUUUUAUGAUCCUCCCCAGAGUCCUGCCCUAUACCCUGGGGGAAGGAAUGAUGACACUGUGAAGCUCCCAUAAAAACCCAAGAGGACUGGGUUCCAGAAGUUUCUUAUGCCUUGUCCUACGCAUCUCUUUAUCUGUAUCCUUUGCAGUGUCCUUU
rnacentral:lncRNA from 10 species